GGGGGUGUAGCUCAGGAGCAGAGCACCUCUUUCACACAGAGGAAGCCGCUGGUGCAAGUCCAGCCACCCCCA
rnacentral:tRNA from 1 species